rnacentral:rRNA from 1 species
CCUGGUGAUCGUAGAGACGUGGAACCACCCGUUCCCAUCCCGAACACGGAAGUGAAACGCGUCAUCGCCGAUGGUAGUGCGCCGGUAGGGCGUGCGAGAGUAGGUCAUUGCCAGGU